rnacentral:rRNA from 1 species
UACGUAGGGUGCAAGCGUUGUCCGGAAUUAUUGGGCGUAAAGAGCUCGUAGGCGGUUUGUUGCGUCGGCUGUGAAAUCCCGAGGCUCAACCUCGGGUCUGCAGUCGAUACGAGCAAACUAGAGUGUUGCAGGGGAGACUGGGAAUUCCUGGUGUAGCGGUGAAAUGACGCAGAUAUCAGGAGGAACACCGGUGGCGAAGGCGGGUCUCUGGGCAACAACUGACGCUGGAGGAGCGAAAGCGUGGGGAGCGAACAGG